rnacentral:pre_miRNA from 1 species
UUUCAUCAGAACGAGUACACUUCUAAACAAGUAUACUUGACGUGAUUUCGGC